rnacentral:tRNA from 2 species
GCGGACGUGGCGGAAUUGGUAGACGCGCUACCUUGAGGUGGUAGUGGGCGCAAGCUCGUGGAGGUUCAAGUCCUCUCGUCCGCACCA